rnacentral:rRNA from 1 species
UACAGAGGAGCCAAGCGUUGUCCGGAUUGACUGGGCGUAAAGCGCACGCAGGCGGUUGGGUAAGGCAGAUGUGAAAGCCCCGGGCUCAACCUGGGAAUUGCAUUUGAGACUGCGUAGCUAGGGUGCGGAAGAGGGAAGCGGAAUUUCCGGUGUAGCGGUGAAAUGCGUAGAUAUCGGAAGGAACACCAGUGGCGAAAGCGGCUUCCUGGUCCAGCACCGACGUUCAGGCACGAAAGCGUGGGGAGCAAACAGG